rnacentral:rRNA from 1 species
UACGGAGGGUGCAAGCGUUGUCCGGAUUUAUUGGGUUUAAAGGGUGCGUAGGCGGCCUCUUAAGUCAGUGGUGAAAGCCCGCGGCUCAACCGCGGAACUGCCAUUGAUACUGGGAGGCUUGAGUACAGACGAGGUGGGCGGAAUUGAAGAUGUAGCGGUGAAAUGCUUAGAUAUCUUCAAGAACACCGAUUGCGUAGGCAGCUUACUAGGCUGUAACUGACGCUGAGGCACGAAAGCGUGGGGAGCGAACAGG